AGGCCUAACACAUGCAAGUCGCACGGUCAGCAAUGGCAUGUGGCGGACGGGUGAGUAACACGUAUGAAUCUAUCCUGGGGUGGGGGACAACACCGUGAAACUGCUGCUAAUACCGCAUGAUACCUGAGGGUCAAAGGCGCAAGUCGCCUUGGGAGGAGCCUGCGGUCUGAUUAGCUUGUUGGAGGGGAAAAGGCCUACCAAGGCGACCACAUAGUGGCUGAGAGAUGAUCAGCCCUUUGGGACUGAGACACGGCCCAUACUCCUCCGGGAGGCUUAGUUUAAUAUUGGAAAUGGGGGUAAACCUGAUCCCUAAGCUACGUGUGUGAAAAAGCCUUCUAAUUGCAAGGACUUUUG
rnacentral:rRNA from 1 species